UUUCGGGCUUCACUUACCGUUGGUCUUGGAUCCUCUCCCCAGCAGUAAUGAAAUACGGGAAAUAGUAUCUGCAUUUUGCUAAAAGGAGAAGUCUGUUUCUUUAGGAAACCAAGAGUAACCUUUCUAGUAACACAAUGAGGGCUAUUCUUUUAAUUUCCUCUGGGUAUCCAGAAGAAGCACACAUCACAGGAAAACUGCAACGGCCCAUCCUAGGGGAAAUACACCAAAACAACCUCCUCCCCCCCAAAAAAACAAAAACAAAGAAUCCAGCCAAAACCAGAAUUCUUAUUGUGAAUGGGGUCCAUUCAGCUUUAAAAGAAAACCACAUCCCUUUUGUUCUAAGAGUCCAUGCGUUC